rnacentral:lncRNA from 1 species
AGUGACCUCUAGGGAAGGGGGACCGAGGAGGGGGAGGUGGUUUGAGGCUCCAUUCCUCCUCCGGGCCGGGCCAUCCAACUGCAGCGGGACCCGUGGGCCCCGGAAACGGACGACGAGUAGAGGCCGGGGAUCCGCGGCCGCCGGGGCUCAGAACGGUACAUAGUUGUGUAUUUUUAGUUGUGGGACCUUCUAGUUGUGGCAUGUGGGAUGCUGCCUAAGCAUGGCCUGAUGAGCGGUGCCAUGUCCGCGCCCAGGAUCUGAACCGGCGAAACCCUGGGCCGCCAAAGUGGAGCGCAUGAACUUAACCAUUCGGCCAUGGGGCUGGCCCCUAAAACUCUAUAUUUUAAAGAGAGAGAUGAUGCAUCCUGGAGGAAGGCGCCUUUGCCUUCCAUGCCAUAGGUGAGGCACCGUAAGCCAGUUGAACUCUGCAUCCAGAAAGCCCAAGAUUGAAGAAGAAAGAUCAGAGACGUUGACUAACCUGGAAACAGGGACCUCUUUGGAACUUUGUUUUCAUCCGCACUACCCUUUCAAAAGUAUCUUCGAACAGAAUUGAUUUCAUCUUAUUUUGCUUAUUGGGAAGAACAUGGCUUCAGGGAUUUUACAUUUCCCUUUAGUUUUGCAUGAACUCUAUAGGAAACAGAGCCCUUAAAGGGCUUGGGAAUAAUAAGAAGAGAUUGAAGACAGACAAGCUUGCUCUCUCUCUCCUAUUUUCCCUCCCCCUUCAAAGAAAAGGAUUUACAACUCAACCCUGUAACAGCUGCUGCCCAGCUUUAGCCAUCAAGAGAAAAUAAAUAAAAUUAAACCACCAUUGCCAGACGACAAGCCCUGAAGUCAAGGUGUGGGAGUGGUGGCAUUGAGAAAACUGCCUAAAAAGGACAAGGACUGCAGUAGAAACAGCUUCUCUAAAGCUGGAAGGGGCCCCAGGUUCCUUCAUGGAUUAAAAUAGAAUCACAGGGCACACCUCUUUUAGGUGCAGCUCACAUUUUGUGGAAGUGUGGUAGUCGUGGAGGUGCUGCAGUGUCUCCUCGGAAGAAUUUUUCCUUGCCCGAAGUGUCCUGCUCUGCCCUGAUAUUCUCCCCUUCUUUCCUUUUGAAGACUUGCCUCCAUCCAUGAGCUAUUCCUUGAUCUGUCUGACUGCCCAUGUUCUCCACCUGC